CAUGUAGGUGGAUCAAUAAGUCUGCUGUGAAAGUCGAAGGCUCAACCUUCGAAAGCCGGUGGAUACUGUUGAUCUAGAGUACGGAAGAGGCGAGUGGAAUUCCUGGUAUAGCGGUGGAAUGCGCAGAUAUCAGGAGGAACACCAAUAGCGAAGGCAGCUCGCUGGGACGUUACUGACACUGAGAUGCGAAAGCGUGGGGAGCAAACA
rnacentral:rRNA from 1 species